rfam:Gordonia terrae NBRC 100016 DNA, contig: GOTRE127.
GAGAGCCGGAUGCGGUGAAAGCCGCACGUCCGGUUCGGUGGUGCGGCCCCGGGAAAUAGCCUGCGAGCAAUCGCAGACACUACGCCCGGGGCCGACACCAAC